UGUGUUAUAUUCACUAUAGAUAGUCCUAUCUAGCCAUCUUUAGCUCCCGGUUUUUUAGGNCUAUCCACAACUCAGAAUANAUA
rnacentral:sRNA from 1 species